rnacentral:tRNA from 3 species
GCAGCUGUAGUUCAAUGAUAAAACCUCAAACUUUCAAACUGAUUGAAUGAGUUCAAUUCUCAUCACUUGCACCA